CUACAUUAGCAUGCAUUGCCAGAAGAACCUGCGCAAGCUCAUAAUAUCCCGCUGAGCAGGCUAAACAAAGGAGGCUUUCCCCUUCUUCUGUGUGCUCGUUCACACUUCGUCCUUCAAUUAGCAACUUCCGCACAGCAUUUACAUCUCCUUCUGAACAAGCCUCUGCCAAGCUGCGGUUGUCCGUCUGCCCUGCAUUUGCUGUGCUUUCUGCUCUC
rnacentral:lncRNA from 1 species